UACAGAGGUCCCGAGCGUUGUUCGGAUUCACUGGGCGUAAAGGGUGCGUAGGUGGCGAGGUAAGUCGGAUGUGAAAGCUCGGAGCUCAACUCCGAAAUGGCAUUGGAAACUACCUUGCUCGAGGGUUGGAGGGGGGACUGGAAUACUUGGUGUAGCAGUGAAAUGCGUAGAUAUCAAGUGGAACACCAGUGGCGAAGGCGAGUCCCUGGACAGCUACUGACACUGAGGCACGAAAGCUAGGGGAGCAAACAGG
rnacentral:rRNA from 1 species